rnacentral:rRNA from 1 species
UAGGGAAUCUUCCGCAAUGGACGCAAGUCUGACGGAGCAACGCCGCGUGAGUGAAGAAGGAUUUCGGUUCGUAAAACUCUGUUGUUAGAGAAGAACAGCGCAUAGAGUAACUGUUAUGCGUGUGACGGUAUCUAACCAGAAAGCCACGGCUAACUACGUGCCAGCAGCCGCGGUAAUACGUAGGUGGCAAGCGUUGUCCGUAUUUAUUGGGCGUAAAGCGAGCGCAGGCGGUCAAUUAAGUCUGAUGUGAAAGCCCCCGGCUCAACCGGGGAGGGUCAUUGGAAACUGGUUGACUUGAGUGCAGAAGAGGAGAGUGGAAUUCCAUGUGUAGCGGUGAAAUGCGUAGAUAUAUGGAGGAACACCAGUGGCGAAGGCGACUCUCUGGUCUGUAACUGACGCUGAGGCUCGAAAGCGUGGGUAGCAAACAGG